CAGCUCUCCGAGUUGUAGGGAUGAUUAUUGGGCUUAAAGCGUCCGUAGCCGGCUUAGCAAGUCUCCUGUUAAAUUCAGCGACCUAAUCGUUGAGCCGCGGGAGAUACUACUAGGCUAGGAGGCGGGAGAGGUCGACGGUACUUUCGGGGUAGGGGUGAAAUCCUAUAAUCCCGGGAGGACCACCAGUGGCGAAGGCUGUCGACUAGAACGCGCUCGACGGUGAGGGACGAAAGCUGGGGGAGCGAACCGGAUUAGAUACCCGCGUAGUCC
rnacentral:rRNA from 1 species